CCAAACAUCCCAGCAAAAGCAGAUCAAACUGGGAGGGGUGGGGGAGAGAGAGAGAGAUACCUAAACUGUGAUCUGCCCAGGCACAAGCCCCAUUCCUUGCAAGAAGCCGAAACGGUCGCCUGCUCCUGGGCUUGUGACUCCACCAGCAGCAUGUAGCAGAGAUCCCGUGGGCUCGUGUCAGCUGCAACAGCUACUGGGACGCAAGAGUUUUGUUUUGUUUUUUUCCCCACUCCAGUCUCGCAAGCCUGAGAAGAGUUUAAAGGCUUCUUCCUCCAGAUCCCUGCAGCACCUGCACCUCCCUGGAUAAACAGACCUCAGCAGAGGCUUUUAGUUACAGACACUUUAACUAGAGCCCAGCCCAAGGGAGGAGAGCGACUCGAAAAAACUUUGCACUAAAACUUUUUUUGUUGCGGCUACUUUGCUUUGUUAACCCCUUUGGUCAGUUGUGUGACAGCUGCUCUUCUCACUGCUCUCUCUACUUUAAUCAGAAUUAGCCAAAGAAAAAGAAAAGAAAGAAAAACCAACCCAAACAAACACCCCCCCCCCCAGAUCAUCCCAUGAGUUAGGAAGGGGGAAACAAGGAAUAAAGUUAUUCUGAAAAAAAAAACACAUUUGGCCGUCGAGAAGAGAGGGAGGCAAACAAAAACCUGUAGCAAAGCGGGGACGCAGUGAAUGGAAAGCGCAGUUUCACUGGAAUCAACAAGUGAGAACUUCUGGACGCCUCGGUCUUUCACCCCUCCCCGCGCUUACCCAGCCUGAAGGCUUUGAAACGUGUUGCUGGAAAGAAAUUGCCCCUAUUGACAGCUCUCCCUUCUUACACGUUUAUCAAGGAUAUACUCAUAAGUCACAUCUGCACCAGCCAUGAUCCCAAAGCACUGCCCCGCCCUGGCUGUUGGGGUGCUUCAUGGACUGCUUUGGCUACAAGGUCUUGCUCUGGAAGAAGUGCUACUGAAACCAAAGUUGAACAUUACAGAAGAUCAAAUUGUAAUCAAUGCAGGAGAUUUCUUUGCCAUAACAUGCAGGGGAGCAGCCGCCUUGACCUGGCUAUGGGGAAAUGAGCCACACAAAGACAUUCCCCACAGGUGGACUGUAUCUGAGCACAAGUGUUCAGACAAUGUACAGCAGACCUGCAGCAGGCUCACAAUCAACAAAGCUAUAGCCAACGACACCGGUUACUUCACCUGUGUUUAUAAUCGCCACCUUUCUAACAAAGACCUCGUGGCCAAGACAUAUGUGUACGUUACAGACCACCAGAAUCCAUUUGUUCAGAUUCACCCUCAAUAUCCCGAAGUGAUAUUUGUAUUGAAUACUACCGAAGUGGUUGUCAUACCCUGCCGGGUCACCUCACCAGAUAUCAAACCCAAGCUUCGACAGCUUCCUUCUUCUUCAGAGUUCAGCUACUGGAGGAUGGUGUGGGACCCCAGGAGAGGAUUUGUCAUCCCCUCUCCUCCUUUCCACUUCUUCAAAGGCAUACUCAUGUGUACAACCAAAGUAAACGGAAUUGAGUCGUCAUCCUACUACAUGCCACAGAAAGUGGAGAGCAGAAUACAGAACCUGGCUCUGAAAGCAAACCCCAGAAAGCUGUUGGUCGGAGAUACCCUCAACGUGGAAUGCAGCGCAGAGACCUUUCCCAAUGGACGGAUUGAAUUUGAAUGGCAGUAUCCUAGUGGGAGAGAUCAUAAGCCUACACGAACUUUGAACAAAAGUCAGGUGGUAUAUAAAGCCUUCAGUAACCUGACCAUCCAGAAUGUUACCAUGGAAGACACUGGCUUGUAUAUAUGCAGAGCAGUCAACGUAACAGGACUGGAGACCAAUGUAAUGAUACUGAAGGCCAAUGUAACAGUCACAGUAUACAACAAAGCUUUCCUGAGAGUUUCCUAUAAGAAAGGACCCUACUACGAGGGGGUAGCAGGACAUAAGUUACUGAAACUAGCUGUGAAGGUGGAUGCCUUUCCCCGCCCCAGUGUUACCUGGUAUAAAGAUGGCAAGCCAAUCAAGGAGAACCACACUUGUUAUGUAGCAGAUCCAAUGAAGUACAAGCUGGCCAUAAGGGAUUUGAGACCAAAGCAUGCUGGGAACUACACCAUAGUCCUGAGCAACACUAAACAUGGUCUGUAUGAGAACCUCACCAUCCAGCUAGUAGUGACAGAGAGGCCCAAAAUCUAUGAAAAGGAGACAGACUUUGACAAGGUCGCACAAGUGAACCUGGGAAGUACACAAAGCCUUCAGUGCACUGCGAGCGGGACUCCGGACCCCAAGAUCACGUGGGAAUGGGAGCGAUGCGCCCCUGCAGACACGCGCUGCAGACACCAUGGAAAAAGAACUGUCAUUCAGAAAAACAUCAGUGAGGCAGACAUACGGACAGGCAACAAAAUCGAGAGCAUUGAGGAGAAAUACAUAAUGCAUGAAGAUAAAAAAAAGAUCAUAAGCAAGCUGACUACAGAACAUAGCAAUGCAUCAGGGAUCUAUUACUGCGUGGCUUCAAACAAGAUUGGCAAAGAGGAGAGAAGCAUCAAGUUCUAUGUCUCAGAUGUGCCAUCGGGUCUGCAAACGGACCCACAGAUCACCACCAUCGUGGGAAGUGAUGUUCAGCUGACCUGCAGAGCCUCCAGAUACAUUUACGAUCACCUGGCAUGGUACUACCCUUCCUCACAGGUGGUGCCCACCGGCUUGAUGCAAGAGCAAAUUGACAGAUACUCCAUUUCCUUGACACUGGCCAUUAGUAAUGUCACAGAGGAACAUGCCGGGCAGUACAAGUGCAUCGCUCAGAAUCGGCACAACAGCACGGAUGUGCGAGAAGAGGAUACCCAACUCAAUGUUAAAGCAAAGGCAGUGCCAUAUAUUAUGCAGAACCUCACGGACCGAGAGGUUAACAUCAGUGGCAAGAUCAUUCUGGAGUGCAAAGUAAAUGGAACCCCAACACCUCAGAUUGCGUGGCGGAAAAAUGGCUAUCCCAUUUCACCUGCUUCAGGAAUUUCCAUGGAAAACAACACCCUGGUCAUUGAACGAGUGAAAAAAGAUGAUGAAGGCCUCUAUGAAUGUAGGGCUUCCAAUGAAAUGGGCAAUGACAGCACAUCAGCAUUUAUUAAAAUACAAGGCUCUGAAGAAAAAUCCAAUAUUGAAGUUAUCAUUUUGGUCUGCACUGGUCUAGCAGCUACCCUUUUUUGGCUUCUUCUGACCCUUUUCAUUCGGAAACUGAGAAAACCUGAUGCCACAGAUAUUAAAACGGGAUACCUGUCAAUCAUAAUGGAUCCAGAGGAAAUGCCCCUUGAUGAGCAGUGUGACCGUCUGCCAUAUGACAGUAGUAAAUGGGAGUUCCCAAGAGACAGGCUGCGGCUUGGUAAAACACUGGGUCAUGGUGCUUUUGGGAAAGUCGUGGAGGCAUCUGCUUUUGGUAUCGAUAAAUCUUCAACCUGCAAAACAGUUGCUGUUAAAAUGCUUAAAGCAGAAUGUGCAACUACAAAUGAGUGCAAGGCUUUAAUGUCUGAGCUGAAGAUCCUCAUCCACAUAGGACACCAUCUGAACGUGGUCAACCUGCUGGGAGCCUGCACCAAAGCAGGAGGUCCUUUGAUGGUUAUCGUAGAAUAUUGCAAAUAUGGAAAUCUGUCUAAUUAUCUGAGAGGAAAACGAGGGGACUUUGUUGCAUAUAAGUCCCAGGAGAAUUCUGACCAAGCAGAGAAAAGUCUGGAUGAGUCCAACAGUGAUUUAACAGAGCUGAUCAAGAGGCGCCUUGAGAGUGUGGCCAGCACAGGAAGCUCGGCCAGUUCAGGAUUCAUUGAAGAUAAGAGUUACAGUGACUCGGAAGAGGAAGAAGAAGAUGGUGAGGAUCUGCAGAAGCGACCCUUGACCUUGGAGGAUCUGAUCUGCUAUAGCUUCCAGGUGGCAAAAGGCAUGGAGUUCCUGGCCUCCAGAAAAUGUAUUCAUCGGGAUUUGGCAGCAAGGAACAUCCUUCUGUCGGAAAACAACGUGGUUAAGAUCUGUGACUUUGGACUGGCUAGGGAUAUUUACAAAGAUCCUGACUAUGUACGGAAAGGAGAUGCAAGACUUCCACUUAAAUGGAUGGCUCCGGAGGCUAUUUUUGAUAAAAUUUAUACUACGCAGAGUGAUGUGUGGUCUUUUGGCGUGUUACUAUGGGAAAUAUUUUCUCUGGGUGCCUCACCAUACCCGGGUGUGCAAAUUGAUGAGGACUUUUGCCGCCGCCUCAAAGAAGGAACACGGAUGAGAUCGCCAGAAUAUUCCACUCCAGAAAUCUACCAGACUAUGCUGGAUUGUUGGCAUGGAGUUGCCACAGAGCGGCCGACCUUCACAGAGCUGGUUGAGCGCUUAGGAGACCUCCUCCAGGCAAACGUGCAACAGGAUGGUAAAGAUUAUAUUCCACUGAACAUCACAUUAUGCCUUGAUGGAGAAUCUAACCCAAAGACCUGCCCAGUGGAAGAAAACUUGAGCAAUUGCAUUAAUCGCUGGAGUGCAUUGGGAAUAGGUAAUAACAGUAAGAAGAGACCGCUGAGUGUGAAGACAUUUGAUGAGGUGCCAGUGGAGAAGCAGAAAGUGAUGAAUGAGGAAAGCGAGUCAGAUAGCGGGAUGGUGCUGACAUCUGAUGAGAUGAAAAGCCUGAAGAGGCUGGAAAUCCGCUCCUGGCCUUAUGGGAUUAUGGCUCUAGCGCAGCGAGCUGUCAGUAAGAGCAAAGAAUCCAUGUUAUCAGAGCAUGAGAUUGUGAAAUACCAGCCAGCAAUACAGAUAGAUGAGGACACCAUGGACUUCACCCUGGAAGACUCAGUUCUCCUGCCCAUGGAUCCAAACCUGGAAUGCCACAGCCCACCUCCCGACUACAACUCCGUCAUCCACUAUUCUGCCCCUCCAGUGUAAUCAGACCAGUUCAAUCUCUGCACCUCUUUCAGCAAUGCUGGAUUCUCACAUGCCUCCACCAUUUAUACAGGCUGUUUAAAAGGACUAGGGUAAAAAGAGGAGAAGGAAACUGAGAGUGUCCCUGCUAUGAAUGGAAACCCGUAAAGAGCAGCUACCUUAAAAGGUAUGUUUCAGCUUAUCAAGUUAACAUACCAGAAUCAAAAAUAGGAGUUGCAGCCCAAAAUUGCUCCCCACUCCUUACUCCCCACACUGGAUUGCUCAGUAGCAAUUGCAGAUGUGCAAGGUAUUUCAAUCCCUUUUUGCUGAUUCCAUACAAGAGUCACGGAGAUGGGUGCCACAGGAUUGAUUCUGCUGGCCAUACGUAGACCCUGCAAGGAUUAUAUGCUCAGAUGCUGUAUGGGGAUCAGUUAAGAACUGUAGCCCCAAACACUGAUAUAUGGAUUUUGAAAGCGUACGUUAUUUUAAAAACAUGGGGAAUCUCAUUAUCCCUCCCAAAAUGUAUUUGAAAUAUCCAAAUUGUUUUGCUUAGGGUUGGUAUUCUAAUGAUGUUUGUACAUCUUCUGGGAUCCGUCCUUAAAACUAUACAACAUACACAGAGCAUGGGUACUCUGAGUACCUGUAGAAAGCCUGGAUUUGGUUGCAUUCUGGGCACACUACAUAGCUCAUCUAUUUCCCUAGGUUUUUCCUUUGUAGGAACAACAAUUUAUUUUAGUGAAUUAUUUUAUACUGAUUGUUCAGCAGGUUUUUGGAUAAGGACUUUAUAAAUUUAGAUAAAUACAUUUUCCCGUGUGUGUGCACUCAAUGCAGGCCAUAUGCCACUGGGACACCAACAGUUUAACACAAUUUUUCUGUUUAACUUCUGGACACAUAUCUUUAUAGAAAGCACUUCCCCUAGAUUCCACUACUGAUGCCAAACAGUUUGAUUUUUGGAAUACCAACCUAUACCACACUAGGAGCAAUCUGACAUUUAGGUUUGUACUUCUGGAGCCCAUGCAGCCUGACCACCUUGCUACUGUGGUAUGUAAUACCCUAAGCAAGUAAAUCAAAGCUUUUUGCAGUCAGGCCUGGCUGGAUCAUGAAUCUACACAGAUGAGAAAUUCAAAGUGACCUGCCCCUCACCCCCCACAUGCUAUGUACAGCAGGGGAAUUGUAGGUUUGCCAGCAUGCACACCCAUCUCCUCCUUGCAGCAACCUCACAAGUAAGCAAGUAAUCCUUGUAAUUUAAUGCACUGUGAAGUAAUCUCAGCUGACAUUAAAAAUUUAGGCAGGAGUAAAGCAUCUAGGGUCUCAAGUCUAAAGCAAGGCUGAGAAAGAUGCUCAUUGACAGUCAAGCCUGUAACCUCCUAAAUUAUAACCUGGAAAAAGGAGCUUUACAUUAAUUUUCUCUCUGGGGACUUUUCCAAGGCCUAGGAAACGCCUCCAUUCCCUUCUUAGGUCUGGCAUUAGCAAUCACCUCUUUCCUUGAGAGGAUAGAUCUUUUUAAAUGAUCACAAAUCGAAAGAAGAAAAGGCACCUGGCAAACAAUGUGAUCCUAACUCCUCCAGCAUAGGGAAAACAGA